UUUUUAAAACAAAAACCUAGCUACUUUCAAAAAAAAAAAAAGAAAAAAAAAACAACAGCCACGCAUCAUAACAUUCUCUCCCUCUCGUUUUGAUUCCGGUGAUCGGAGUAGAAUUCCGGCAACCACAGCACACCCAAACCUCUCCUCUGGUUAUACACUCCCUGUAAGACGACGGCGGUGGUGUGGCAGCCUCGGCGGCCGGCGAAGCAACCCCAUGUCUCUCCGGUUCGUGACUUGGGUGAAGGACUAGUCAAGGUAGAGGUGGCUGUGGUUCGAUUCGGUUCCGGCAGGUGACGACGAAGCUGCAGCGACGUGAUGAAGAUGACGGUGGGUCUCGGCAGAAGUUGAAGCUGGUGGUUGUUCCGGCUAGCGGCGCCGGCGACGGAGACGACGACGGCAGCAGGUGGUCCGUGAACUCGUGAAUCACUGGGGUGUGGUUGACCAACUCAGGACAAACGCUUUAUUUACCGAGGAAAGCAAAGGUCUUUAGGUCCAUAAGGACUGGAACUUGCUAUCUGGGAAGCUGGAGUGGUCAUGGGUCGAGAUACGUGGAAACACAGCACAACGCAGAGAGCUUUUACAUGUGAUUUAUAAACACUUAACGAAUUAAAUAUGCUUCCGCUGUAAACUGUGAACUAUUGUAACACCUACUGUUAAUUAAUGAAAGUUUUAUUUUCAUA